AUUGAACGCUGGCGGCAUGCCUUACACAUGCAAGUCGAACGGUAACAGGUCUUCGGAUGCUGACGAGUGGCGAACGGGUGAGUAAUACAUCGGAACGUGCCUAGUAGUGGGGGAUAACUACUCGAAAGAGUGGCUAAUACCGCAUGAGAUCUACGGAUGAAAGCAGGGGAUCGCAAGACCUUGUGCUACUAGAGCGGCCGAUGGCAGAUUAGGUAGUUGGUGGGAUAAAAGCUUACCAAGCCGACGAUCUGUAGCUGGUCUGAGAGGACGAUCGGCAGCACUGGGCCGGAGACACGGCCCAGACUCCUACGGGAGGCAGAAGUGGGGAAUGUUGGACAAUGGGCGAAAGCCUGAUCCAGCAAUGCCGCGUGCAGGAUGAAGGCCUUCGGGUUGUAAACUGCUUUUGUACGGAACGAAAAGCCCCGGGUUAAUACCCUGGUGUCAUGACGGUACCGUAAGAAUAAGCACCGGCUAACUACGUGCCAGCCGCCGCGGUAA
rnacentral:rRNA from 1 species